CUCUAAUUGGCAACCACUGUUCUACAUGUAAUAGAUGCUUUAGAAGCCUAAACAGCAAAAACAUAAAAGAAGAAUGCUCCCCUCAGUUGGACUAUCUUCACCAAAUUUAGUGUCUUUUUAAGCGACCAUUUUUUUGUCUCCAUAAAAUGAAACAAAUAUGCAACUAAAGAAUUACGAGUUCAGAAUAAAAUGAAACUGUUUUGAAAACGAAAGGGUUGGUGCUUUUAUGAUUCUUCUUCUAGAUGCAAAUAUAAUUAAUAUGUAAAACAUGAACUUAACCAAAAAAGAGAAGAUGUUUAAUGGCUCUAUUAAGGGUAUUGGGUCAGAAGGUGUUUGUGCUGUUUGUCAUUAAAAAAGCCAUGGGUAAAUCUAAGUGUAUGUUCGCCUACUUUUUGAACUCAACUGUACUGUCAUAUAUCUAACAAGUUCGUGCUUGCGUCAUUUUAUUUAUA
rnacentral:lncRNA from 1 species